CCUACGGGGGGCAGCAGUGGGGAAUAUUGGGCAAUGGGCGCAAGCCUGACCCAGCAACGCCGCGUGGAGGAAGAAGGCUUUCGGGUUGUAAACUUCUUUUCUCAGGGACGAAGAAAGUGACGGUACCUGAGGAAUAAGCCACGGCUAACUACGUGCCAGCAGCCGCGGUAAUACGUAGGUGGCAAGCGUUAUCCGGAUUUACUGGGUGUAAAGGGCGUGUAGGCGGGGAAGCAAGUCAGAUGUGAAAAGCACGGGCUCAACCUGGGGACUGCAUUUGGAACUGUUU
rnacentral:rRNA from 1 species